CCAAGGGUUCGGCUGUUCGCCGAUUAAAGUGGUACGUGAGCUGGGUUUAGAACGUCGUGAGACAGUUCGGUCCCUAUCUGCCGUGGGUGUAGGAGAUUUGAGAGGAGCUGCCCCUAGUACGAGAGGACCGGGGUGGACAUACCUCUGGUGGACCAGUUGUCGCGCCAGCGGCAUAGCUGGGUAGCUAAGUAUGGACGGGAUAACCGCUGAAAGCAUCUAAGCGGGAAGCCCCCCUCAAAACAAGAUCUCCCUUGAGAGCCGUGGAAGACCACCACGUUGAUAGGCUGGAUGUGGAAGCGCAGUAAUGCGUGUAGCUGACCAGUACUAAUUGCUCGAUAGGCUUGAAUCCG
rnacentral:rRNA from 2 species